UUCAAACUCCAGUCACACACACACAUAAACACAAACAUAGAAAACUUGUCAAUGUAAAAAUUAUUGCGCAUUUGUCAUUUAAAGGCAGUACUUUGUGUUUUUUGGGGUCAGAAAAGGUAGACUUGGUGAUGAACAGAUCCAAAACAUACAGCAUGAUGUAAAGACUAACUGAGAGAGAUAAGAUCUGAACCUCCCCCAGAGAGCCCUGAAAAUGCCUGGCAAACAUUAACACUAUAGUUCCUUUGGUUCCUUGCAUCCUGCACAGGUGGGAAGGGGGAAUAAUCCGUUACAAUGUGUUCUGAAGGUCUGCUCAGUGUGGUCCACCUGUCACCUUCUUUAACCUUUCAGGGGUUUUACCCUACUUAAGACUUAGUAAAUAUUACUUGGAUCUCAUUACAGUUUUACCAAUGAAUUAUUAGUAGGUAUAUUUGUAGUCCAAAAAGUUUUAUAACAUCUGGCUGUUAAGAAGAACUGCCAAUCAUCCUACCCUACAUGCAAAGAACCCAAGGUUUUCUUCUCCCCCAACCGAAACCCAAACCACAUUUUUCUGAAUAGAAACCAGAGACCUGGACUCUUGAGGUGCUUGGCUGAAGCCUGCCUUUUCCUUUUAUGGUGUUAUUUUACUUUCUGCUUUCAAUAAAGCUUGCUGCUUUGCUCCUCACCUUUUGUUUCUGGGACUAAAUCUUUGAUUGGGACCCCAGGCUACAACCUGACAGGAAUCCCGGAUCCCUUCUACCCCAACAACACUGCAUGGUCGUUGGAGAAGGAUGGGAGGGGAAACUGGCACCCUUUGUGCUUCCUUUAGUUAAGUAGUGGUUAGGCAUGGGUGAUGAGGAAAUCCACAGUGUACCUGUAUGGGGAACUCUUCAAAGUCUCUGAGUUAAAACAUUGUCAUUCAAGUUUCCAACUCUUACCAGCCUCUGUUAGUAUCUUAGUAGCCCACCAAGCAAGCAUCACCUGAUGAUUUUAAGUGCUACUUGUUACUGGAUGGUGAUCUAAGGAGACCCUUGUCCAGACAAUUUCAGGCACAAAAAUUCGGGUAGUACAUGAGAUGUACUGAAAAUGAUAAAAUUUAUUGCAGGGAAGAAGAAGGCACUGUAAAAGAAAGAGCCAUGGGCCCCAGCCAGGUGGAAUAGAACAUCUUUGUCUCAUUUGCCUCCUCAAUGUUGGAGUGACACUACUCAGUAACCAAGAGGGAGAAGAGCGUGGAGUGGGCCUGGCCUCCUCUAGGCACUCACCUUCUCUGUAAUUCUGGAAUGUCAACUGGGACACUGUGUGUGGAAUGUCAUAAGGAUAUUGUGAUCCCAUUUUGAGAAGAAGGAGAAGCACUGAGUAUGGAAGGGGUUUAAACUCAGGCCGGGAGCUUGCUAGGCAGGUGUGGACCAGUUCAACACCGCCUCCAGCUCCACUAACUUAAUAAAAGAAGUGACGUCAGUUGGUAGCAUGAGAUGGUUACCUGGCGUGGUAAGAAGCAGGAGCCUGGUCUGGAAAGUGCAGACUGCUGGUUAAAUUCAACUGCACCCGAGGCUGGGCCAGGUUCACCCGAGGGAAGGAAACCUGGACUGCGGGAACUGUGAGUGGAAUCUGUCAUUUGGGCUCUGAAGGGGAAGUAGUGGACACAUCUGUCACUCAGGCUUGAGGGUGAGGGGCAUUAGCCAAUCAGGACAGGAGUUCUGGGAGCUGUCCAAUGAGGAGUGAGGAUCGAUGGAGAAAUUCACUGCGCAAGCGCCAUCGCUGUGUCCGGUGUGGCUAAACCUGAAAUCGUUCCUUAGGUGAUGGAAGUCCCAGUGUCUUAGUCUCAUGGUUCUGUGUCCCCGACUGCACAAGCCUAGAGACGACGGGAGUACUGAGAAGCCGGGAAAUGGUGAGUUUUCGGCCGCAGUCGCGGAGCACUAGCGGGGAUCGGCGGGAAACAGCGGGGAACCCGGCCUCCUGCGGCUCAGGUGUGCGUUCCCUGCUGGCUCUGCUCGAACCUUGCUCCUCUGCGCCACAGGGUGGGGUUCAUGACCGUAUAUGUCCUCCUGGUGAUGUGAGCGGCCAUUGCGGCUGCCCUGAGCCUUCUGAGCAGCUCGGCCGCAGGUGUCCUCAACUCCGAGGUGACGUGUUCUUGGGCGGUCAUGCCUGGUGCUCCAGGGACGCUGUGGAUGUGGUCCCCGUGUCCCCUCCUCAGUGGCGCCUGGUUUUCCUGAGUGUUCAGGGUCUGGGAAGGAUCAUUUAAACUCCGCAACCUUUGCCCAGUCCAUGCUUGUGAGUGCAGGCCAUGAACCCCCUAGUCCCAAGCCCUUCCCCUGUGGCCAAACUCCCUGGAAUCCUUAUGUAGAGUGUCUGUGGUUAUAGAGGAGGGGACACCGCGACACUCUGUGACGUCACAAUUGUGAUCCUCCACUGUUUCUAGACCUGAUUUUACAAAGGAAAAGCUGAUGACGGGAGACAGGGCCCUACUUGAAUGCGGUGUUGCAGUAGGGGAGCCUCAGGUGCUGGGUCCCCAAGCCCCCUAAGGCAUCUAUGACCUUUGAUGACGUGUGUCAAGUUCACCCAGGGAGAGUGGGCCUUGCUGGAUCCUUCACAACAGAAGCUGUACAGGGAAGUGAUGGUAG